GAUGAACGCUGGCGGCGUGCUUAACACAUACACGUCGAACGAUGAACCGGGUGCUUGCACUCGGGGAUUAGUGGCGAACGGGUGAGUAACAUGUGAGCAAACUGCCCCUGACUCUGGGAUAAGCGCUCGAAACGGCAACUAAUCCUGGAUAUGUCCCGUCACCGCAUGGUGUGCGGGUGGAACGAUUUUCCGGUUGGAGAUGGGCUCGUGGCCUAUCAGCUUGUUGGUGAGUUAAUGGCUCGCCAAUGCGUCGACGGGUAGCCGGCCUGAGAGGGUGACCGACCACACUGUGUCUGUGACACGCCCCAGACUCCUACGUUAGGCAGCAGUGGGGAAUAGUGCACAAUGGGCGGAAGUCUGAGGCAGCAACGCCGCGUGAGUGAAGACGGCCUUCGGGUUGUAAACCUCUUUUAGCAGGGAAGAAGCGAGAGUGACGGUACCUGCAGAAAAAGCACCGGCUAACUACGUGCCAGCAGCCGCCGUAA
rnacentral:rRNA from 1 species